AAGACGGGUCGGACGAUCGCGGUGGGCGCGAGCCCAUCGAGGAAGGUCCGGACUCCAUAGGGCAGGGUAACGGCUAACGGCCGUCCGGUCGCGCUUUCGGGCGGGGCUGAGGAAUAGGACCACAGAGACGAGACUGCGGCGUGGGCGUGCUUUGCGCGCACUGAUACGGCCAUCUCCGUAUUGCGCCGACCGGCAACGGGCGGCGGCAUCGCAGGGUGAAACGCGGCAACCUCUAUCCGGAGCAACAUCAAAUAGGCAUGCGUGCGGCCUCACGGCCGUGAAGGGCGGCUCCGUCCGAGCAUGCGGGUAGAUGGCUACAGCGGCUCAGCAAUGAACCGCGCAGAGGAAUGAUCGUCCGCCAGGGCAACCUGGCGUACAGAAUCCGGCCUAUAGACCCGUCUUGCAU
rnacentral:RNase_P_RNA from 2 species